UGCAAUUUCUCCAUUCCCAUCUCCCUUCUUCCAUCGAUUCCCCUCUUCCACCGUGCCCUCCUCCCAUUUCCCCUCUUCCACCGAUCAAAGUCCCAAACCAUUUUUUUUUUUAGCUUUUGCUCAAAUGUGUAAAUCUAGAUUCACCUUGUGAUCUCUUUGGAUCAACAACUUCCACACCCUUUAUCACUACUACACUCAGGUGUCUUAGCUCGCUUUGUUGUGGAGUGGGAAUCGGGUAAAGAAGGUUGCACAAUGCAUGUGUCUCCUGAUCAACUUUGGCCUCAUACCAAGGUAUUUUUCAGCUUUUGGAUUUGUGCAUAAGAUUACUACCUUUGAGAAGACAGUUGGAUUUCAGUCAAGGAUAUAUAUAUUGAAUGGAGACUGAUGCUAUUGAAGUAGGGGAGACUCCAUUUGACUCCUAUCCUAGUUCCUUUGAGAUCAAGAUAAACAAAUACCGAAACUUGAUCGGGGGAAACAAAAGUUAGACGGGUAGACAAAAGUAUCCGAGCAAAUACGAGAUUUCAGAAGCUAGCUCGAUUUCGGACGAGGUCGGAGACUUGCUAUCACACUAUCCAGACGAUAUUGGGUACUUUUGGAACUUAUGUAAAUAUGGCAUGUAUAAGCUAGUUUAUAAGUUGAAUUAUAUGGUCACUUAUGUUAGUGAAUGUGGUAUGAAUUUUGGGUUUGAUCAGGCUAUGAGAUAUGGCUUGAGUUGGAAAUGUUUGGUUUGCUAUGGAAGCAUUAUGUGUUAUGUUCAUUUUGCGGUGAAUUUGAUAAAUGGUAUUUUGACAUAAAUGAGGUGUAAUUAUGGAUAUGUUAGUAAGAAUGGUGUUUUGGUUA